AUUGAACGCUGGCGGCAGGCUUAACACAUGCAAGUAGAGCGAGCGGCGGACGGGUGCGUAAUGUCUGGGAAACUGCCUGAUGGAGGGGGAUAAAUACUGGAAACGGUAGCUCAUACCGCAUACCCUCAGAUGUGCCAAGAUGGGAUUAGCUAGGCGGUGGGGUAAUGGCUCACCUAGGCGACGAUCGCUAGCUGGUCUGAGAGGAUGACCAGCCACACUGGGACUGAGACACGGUCCAGACUCAUACGGGAGGCAGCAGUGGGGAAGAUUGCACAAUGGGCGCAAGUCUGAUGCAGACACGCCGCGUGUGUGAAGAAGGCCUUCGGGUUGUAAAGCACUUUCAGCGAGGAGGCGUUACUAGAAGAAGAAGCACCGGCUAACUCCGUGCCAGCAGACGCGGUAAUUC
rnacentral:rRNA from 1 species